rnacentral:rRNA from 1 species
AUACGUAGGGUGCGAGCGUUGUCCGGAAUUAUUGGGCGUAAAGAGCUUGUAGGCGGUUUGUCGCGUCUGCUGUGAAAAUCCGGGGCUCAACCCCGGACUUGCAGUGGGUACGGGCAGGCUAGAGUGUGGUAGGGGAGACUGGAAUUCCUGGUGUAGCGGUGGAAUGCGCAGAUAUCAGGAGGAACACCGAUGGCGAAGGCAGGUCUCUGGGCCACUACUGACGCUGAGAAGCGAAAGCAUGGGGAGCAAACAG